UACAGAGGCCUCGAGCGUUAGGCGGAAUCACUGGGCUUAAAGCGUGUGUAGGUGGAUGCCUAAGUACCUUGUGAAAUCCCACGGCUUAACCGUGGAACUGCUGGGUAUACUGGGUGUCUUGAGCCACUCAGGGGCUACCGGAACAAGCGGUGGAGCGGUGAAAUGCGUAGAUAUCUGGAGGAAUACCGGUGGCGAAGGCGGCUUCUUGGGCCGUUCCUGACGCUGAGGCGCGAAAGCCAGGGGAGCGAACGGG
rnacentral:rRNA from 1 species